ensembl:lncRNA
AGUGAGCCUCACCUCUGCAUGUGAAGGUCUUGGAGUGGACCCUCCUGGAAAAGAAGUCAAGGCACAUGCAAGAUUUAAAGGUGAUUCAAGACAUGCAGCAUGACUUCACCAAGGGCAGAUCAUGUGUCACCAAUCUAGUGGCCUCCUAUGACAGAGUGAUGGCACUGGGGGACAAAGGAAUGGCAACUGAUAAUGUUUACCUGGACUUGCGCAAGGCAUUUCACAUGGUCCUACAUCACAUCCUUAUUCCAAAAUUGGAGAGAGAAGGAUUUGAAGGAUGUUCCAGUUACUCCAACAAAGACAUAACCUUUUCCUAACAACCAGACCUUGCUGACAAUAAAAAGCAGGAAUAAAUAAAUGCUUGUAUCAUUCCACUGCAUUUCGGAAAUAUCCAUAAAUAUUUACUUCAGAAAAUGAAGUGAAGACUCUCAGCGCGGUCCUGGAGACCUGAGAUCCUCUCUCCUGGGGAUCUAGUCAUAUCAGGAUCAUAUCUCACAGUGUGAACUGCAAGACAGCAGAAGCAGAAAGUCAUAUGUCUCCAGUGUGGGAGCCGCAAAAUUUGUGUCAAGCGACAGCAACAACAAAGGCACAAGAAGUGCAUGAAUGAGAGGGACCAGGGAUAAUACAGACAUUUGUUUUUCUCCUUGUCUCACAGAAUACAUGCAAUCCUAGCUGCAACUAAUCCAUGUGGCUUUGAAUAUUAGACUCAUUUCAAGAUUCUUCUAACUGCUUAGCUAUCUUUUCUCAUGCAGUUAUUCUUCCACUGUAGUCACAUGGAAGAAAAACACACCAAAUUCUUCCCCUUGUUCAGAUAUGUUGUCAUCUCCUGCUUCUCCUUUGCUUUUGUGCUAGUGAUGUUGUUGGGCUGCCGAGGGAGGUGGUGGAGUCACCAUCUGUGGAAGUGUUCAAGAAACAUUUAGAAGUUGUACUGGGGGACAUGGAUUAGUGGGCAAUGUUGGUGGUACAUGGAUGGUUGGACUGGAUGAUCUGGGAGGUCUUUUCCAACCUUGAUGAUUCUAUGAUUCUUUGUCUUCCUAUAUAAAACUUUACGAUGGUCUUGUUAACAUGGCAAGAAGAAUGAUUCAUUAUAUGAGUACAAGCAAUCAAACUCUAUAAUCCCACUCAUGAAUUGCAUAAGUUCUGUUGUAUGAACAUUAACAUUUUUAUCCUAGCCUCUCUUAGGAAAUCUGUUCCAUGACCUUCUUUCUCUGGGAAGAAGAAACCAUCUUCUAAAACACAGCCUGAACUUUUUAACAGCCAUAUGUUCCUGUGCCAAUAUUGUUCUUUGUGUUCAGUCAUUCUCCUGCGUUCCCUCCCCCCUUGUUGGAUCAGGAGACUAAUUAGUACUGUGAGAGAAGGUACAGAGAAUGUGCAGAGUAUCAAAUCAGGUCAUGCUGAACCGGAGCUUCCUCUGUUUGCCUGGGUAUCUGCUCCUCAGAUGCAGUGUGCCCAUAGCUCCCCAUUAGUACUCCCAGCAGUAUGUCGGUGGCUUACCCUUCAUCCUGCACCAGUGCCCACGGGGUCUUCUAUCUGCCCAGAGGUGUGAUGAGAUAUGGCUGGAGUUUGAAUAACUGUUGGAAGGUGGAUGAGCUAUGAGUGCUUUAAGAUGUGUAAGGGCUCAUAAAAUAGGAUUUCAGUUUAAAAUGGGGCCAGAGGGGGAGUAGCAUUUGUCAUCAGAGCUGUUCUUCCCUUUCCAGUGGUUAUAAACUGUCUCAGUGUUGUCUGAACUCCUCCAUAUUUUCAGCAUCAGUCAUCCCUGCAUCCCUGCUAAUGGAAAUCUCACCGGUUCUUGGAAAGGGUGGAGGGGCAUGGGAGUAGGGUAGAUGUAACACCUGUGGUAUUUCAUCUAAAUAAAAAGCUGUGCAUU